rnacentral:tRNA from 1 species
GCCCACAUAGCCGAAUUGGCAUAGGCAUCCGGCUCAAACCCGGAAAUCUGCGGGUUCAAGUCCCGCUGUGGGUA